UUUGUAGUUGUUGCCAUUUGUUACAAUGCAAUUUAAUAGAGAUCUUUUUCUAAAGAUUAUGUGGAGUGUCUUUCCAGCUAUAUUUGUCACGAUAAAGUAUUGUUUUUUUGCGGUUCAGGCGGGCACUAAAAAUUGAAAAUAAAAUAAACAGGUGAAGCAAUUGCUGGAGCGAAUCCGAAAUGAUUGGAGUUUAUUGAAAAGUAAAUUGGAAAUUGAUAUUAUAGAAAAGUACGCUAGCAACGCAAAGCUUUUCACAAUAAUUUUAACGGCUGUACACAUCACUAGCCUAUUUUUUACGGUGGUAUUACAAUUUUGGCCACUGAUUCUUAAUGUUAUAUUACCAUUGAACGAAUCACGAUCCUGUGAACUUUUCGUAGUCGUGGAAUAUUUUGUCAACAAGGAGAAAUAUCUGUACGUUAUGCUAUUACACGAAUUUUUAACUAUGUACAUAGGAAUGACUACAUUGCAUUUCACCAGUAUCACAUUUGUAAUAUAUAUUCUGCAUACGUGUGCACUGCUCAAAAUUGCAAGCCAUCGAGUGGAAACCGUGUUCGACAUAAGUAUGUUAACUAAUCCUAGAAGAGAGUAUCUUUUUUCUCAGAAGAUUGCAGAUGUAGUUGUUGUGCAUCGAAGGGCUAUUGAGUCAGUAUUUUUAUAUUUAUGUUGUGGUACUUUCUGUAUAAUAUCUUAUUUCCUGUAUUGCUUUUUAUCUUUUAAAAG